rnacentral:rRNA from 1 species
GGGUGAGUAAUGCCUGGGAAAUUGCCCUGAUGUGGGGGAUAACCAUUGGAAACGAUGGCUAAUACCGCAUAAUAGCUUCGGCUCAAAGAGGGGGACCUUCGGGCCUCUCGCGUCAGGAUAUGCCCAGGUGGGAUUAGCUAGUUGGUGAGGUAAGGGCUCACCAAGGCGACGAUCCCUAGCUGGUCUGAGAGGAUGAUCAGCCACACUGGAACUGAGACACGGUCCAGACUCCUACGGGAGGCAGCAGUGGGGAAUAUUGCACAAUGGGCGCAAGCCUGAUGCAGCCAUGCCGCGUGUAUGAAGAAGGCCUUCGGGUUGUAAAGUACUUUCAGCAGUGAGGAAGGCGGGUACGUUAAUAGCGUGCUUGUUUGACGUUAGCUGCAGAAGAAGCACCGGCUAACUCCGUGCCAGCAGCCGCGGUAAUACGGAGGGUGCGAGCGUUAAUCGGAAUUACUGGGCGUAAAGCGCAUGCAGGUGGUUUGUUAAGUCAGAUGUGAAAG